rnacentral:lncRNA from 1 species
UCAUCACGAGGCGCUCACGGUUCAGGUAAGACGAGUCUUUCGAUCUGGAAAGAAAUCAGAUGCAAAGACCAACUCUGUAUCUUAAUUGAUACAUCAAUCAGGUGAUUCAAUUCUGAUUUCGUUUCUGCACGAAGUAAGCACUGCACAACGACAUUAGUUACCAAUUGCCACGACGCACACAUGGGAUAAGAAAUUGGGCAAUCUUAUCUGUGUCCCGCGCCCG